AGGAAAGCAGGGGAUCGCAAGACCUUGCGCUUUUGGAGCGGCCGAUGUCUGAUUAGCUAGUUGGUGAGGUAAAGGCUUACCAAGGCUUCGAUCAGUAGCUGGUCUGAGAGGACGACCAGCCACACUGGGACUGAGACACGGCCCAGACUCCUACGGGAGGCAGCAGUGGGGAAUUUUGGACAAUGGGGGCAACCCUGAUCCAGCCAUGCCGCGUGAGUGAAGAAGGCCUUCGGGUUGUAAAGCUCUUUCAGCCGGAACGAAAAGGUUACGGUUAAUACCCGUGACUAAUGACGGUACCGGAAGAAGAAGCACCGGCUAACUACGUGCCAGCAGCCGCGGUAAUACGUAGGGUGCGAGCGUUAAUCGGAAUUACUGGGCGUAAAGCGUGCGCAGGCGGUUUUGUAAGUCAGAUGUGAAAUCCCCGGGCUUAACCUGGGAACUGCGUUUGAAACUACCAAGGCU
rnacentral:rRNA from 1 species